AAGACAGUUUAAAACAACUAAAUAUGUGUACUGUAGCCUGCCUGAACGAUUCACACCUGCCAAGUGACACCCACACAUUUCAUUGUGCCUGUCAGUCUGCCCAAGCCCAGAAAGAAAAGGUGUGAUUUUAUUUUACCAUUACUAUUAUUAUUAUUAUUAUUUGCUGAUCCUCUUUACUCCCUUCUGUAUGUUUUUGGAGGUCACCUCCCUUCUCCCACCGUCCUGAGAUGGUCCCCAUGCUGAGAUAUAGUGUUAUCCAGCCAGGUAGAGUGAUUUGGGGAAAUGCCUAGAGAUCCAUAAUCCCAAGGCUUCUCAGGAUACAAUAGAUGGGAGCUUUAGCUUCAGGAAGUGGUGUGCAGAGUCUAUGUGGUUUCUUGCAGCCCCGAGCUUCUGACACCAGAACUCCAGGGUGGUUACUUCAUUUCUCUCCUAGCCUUGUGAUCCCUGCCUGGCCUCAUGUCCUGCAGCACUGAUAUCUGUCAGCACAGCACUGUGUCUGCAAGUGUGAAGGACCCAUCUUUGCCAACAGAGAGAGAAAAACUGCACGGUCAUCUUCUUUGCUUGACCUGAGGCUCCCCAGGGAGGCGGUGCGGUCGCCUUCCCCGGAGGUGUUCAAGUCAUUUGUAGAUGUGGCACCGAGUGACGUGGUUUGUGAGAUGGCAGCCCGUCCGACCUGCAGGACCCAGCCCCAGUCCCUGCAGGAGCUGAGAUGCAGCAUCCUCCUGCCAGAGUGCAUCGGUGCAUGGCCUGUCCGCGGUGGAGAUUCCCCAGAUCUUAGGCAAUUCUCAUCCUCCUGUGGUCUGUGCUAUGCAGCCAGUCUGACUCAGAGACUGAAAAAUCCACAAGACGUUUCUGAAUGCUUUUGAAUUAAAAGAUGUG
rnacentral:lncRNA from 1 species